GAACACUCUCCUGUGACCGAUAGCGAACCAGUACCGUGAGGGAAAGGUGAAAAGCACCCCGAGAGGGGAGUGAAACAGUACCUGAAACCGUGCGCCUACAAGCAGUCGGAGCCCCCGAGCGGGGUGACGGCGUGCCUUUUGUAGAAUGAGCCAGCGAGUUGCGGUAUGCGGCGAGGUUAAGGUUUGAACCGAGCCGCAGUGAAAGCGAGCCUUUAAGAUGGCGAUAGAGUCGCAUGCUGCAGACGCGAAGCCGGGUGAGCUAUCCAUGGGCAGGCUGAAGCGGGGGUAAGACCCCGUGGAGGGCCGAACCCACUUCGGUUGAAAACGGAGGGGAUGACCCGUGGAUAGGGGUGAAAGGCCAAUCAAACCCGGAGAUAUCU
rnacentral:rRNA from 1 species